UACGGAGGAUCCAAGCGUUAUCCGGAUUUAUUGGGUUUAAAAGGGUGCGUAGGCGGCCUGUUAAGUCAGGGGUGAAAGACGGUAGCUCAACUAUCGCAGUGCCCUUGAUACUGAUGGGCUUGAAUGGACUAGAGGUAGGCGGAAUGAGACAAGUAGCGGUGAAAUGCAUAGAUAUGUCUCAGAACACCGAUUGCGAAGGCAGCUUACUAUGGUCUUAUUGACGCUGAGGCACGAAAGCGUGGGGAUCAAACAGG
rnacentral:rRNA from 1 species